GUCCACGCCCUAAACGAUGGAUGCUAGGCGUAGGAGGUAUCGACCCCUCCUGUGCCGCAGCUAACGCACUAAGCAUCCCGCCUGGGGACUACGGCCGCAAGGUUGAAACUCAAAUGAAUUGACGGGGACCCCGCACAAGCGGUGGAGCAUGUGGAUUAAUUCGAUACUAACCGAAGAACCUUACCCAGGUUUGACAUCGAGGGUAAGCCUAUGAAAGUAGGCCCUCUCCCACAAGGAGACCCAAAGACAGAUGUUGCAUGGCUGUCGU
rnacentral:rRNA from 1 species